rnacentral:rRNA from 1 species
ACAUGCAAGUCGAACGGUAACAGGCCUUCGGGCGCUGACGAGUGGCGGACGGGUGCGUAACGCGUGGGAAUCUGCCCAAUAGUGGGGGAUAACCCGGGGAAACUCGGGCUAAUACCGCAUACUCCCCAAGGGGGAAAGCGGGGGACCGCAAGGCCUCGCGCUAUUGGAUGAGCCCGCGUCCGAUUAGCUAGUUGGUGGGGUAAAGGCCUACCAAGGCGACGAUCGGUAGCUGGUCUGAGAGGAUGAUCCGCCACACUGGGACUGAGACACGGCCCAGACUCCUACGGGAGGCAGCAGUGGGGAAUAUUGGACAAUGGGGGGAACCCUGAUCCAGCCAUGCCGCGUGUGUGAAGAAGGCCUUAUGGUUGUAAAGCACUUUAAGCGAGGAGGAGGCUACUGAGACUAAUACUCUUGGAUAGUGGACGUUACUCGCAGAAUAAGCACCGGCUAACUCUGUGCCAGCAGCCGCGGUAAUACAGAGGGUGCGAGCGUUAAUCGGAUUUACUGGGCGUAAAGCGUGCGUAGGCGGCUUUUUAAGUCGGAUGUGAAAUCCCCGAGCUUAACUUGGGAAUUGCAUUCGAUACUGGGAAGCUAGAGUAUGGGAGAGGAUGGUAGAAUUUCCAGGUGUAGCGGUGAAAAUGCGUAGAGAUCUGGAGGAAUACCGAUG